UAAUUGGCUCAGGAUUGAACGCUGGCGGCGUGCCUAAUACAUGCAAGUAGAACGCUGAAGAGAGGAGCUUGCUCUUCUUGGAUGAGUUGCGAACGGGUGAGUAACGCGUAGGUAACCUGCCUGGUAGCGGGGGAUAACUAUUGGAAACGAUAGCUAAUACCGCAUAAAAUUGAUUAUUGCAUGAUAAUUAAUUGAAAGAUGCAAUUGCAUCACUACCAGAUGGACCUGCGUUGUAUUAGCUAGUUGGUGAGGUAACGGCUCACCAAGGCGACGAUACAUAGCCGACCUGAGAGGGUGAUCGGCCACACUGGGACUGAGACACGGCCCAGACUCCUACGGGAGGCAGCAGUAGGGAAUCUUCGGCAAUGGGGGGAACCCUGACCGAGCAACGCCGCGUGAGUGAAGAAGGUUUUCGGAUCGUAAAGCUCUGUUGUAAGAGAAGAACGGGUGUGAGAGUGGAAAGUUCACACUGUGACGGUAUCUUACCAGAAAGGGACGGCUAACUACGUGCCAGCAGCCGCGGUAAUACGUAGGUCCCGAGCGUUGUCCGGAUUUAUUGGGCGUAAAGCGAGCGCAGGCGGUUAGAUAAGUCUGAAGUUAAAGGCUGUGGCUUAACCAUAGUAUGCUUUGGAAACUGUUUAACUUGAGUGCAGAAGGGGAGAGUGGAAUUCCAUGUGUA
rnacentral:rRNA from 1 species